rnacentral:lncRNA from 1 species
ACACCUUCGUUGUCUGCCCUCUGCCGUAGACAACUACGUGGGAUCGAGCAGCACCCUCUGCUGGGAGCAGCACCCUCUGCUGGGAACAGCUCUCUGGUCCCUGGGUCUUCAGGGGAUGGUUUUCAUUCCCACGUGGCCGCCUCUGGACAUCCCUUAGGAAGGGCACCCUAGGGAUCACGAACCUUUGACGCCUCUGCCUGUUUCCCUCAUCUUGCUUCUCACCUUGUUGCUCCUUUCUUGUGACUCAAAGCUGAGUACCUUGUGACACUGCAGAUGCUUGGAGAGUUUCAAGCCCCUGCCGACACUUUAUCCAAGGAAGGAUAUCAGGAUAGGACUUCUACCUCUAGGCCUAUCACAACAGCUCUCUUGCAGAUGGUGGACCUGCUGGUUCCGGGUGGAGCUGACCAUCCCAGAGGCAUGGGUGGGCCAGGAAGUUCACCUUUGCUGGGAAAGUGAUGGAGAAGGUCUGGUGUGGCGUGAUGGAGAACCUGUCCAGGGUUUAACCAAAGAGGGUGAGAAGACCAGCUAUGUCCUGACUGACAGGCUGGGGGAAAGAGACCCCCGAAGGUGAGU